rnacentral:lncRNA from 1 species
AAGAUGAGCAAACGAGGGAAACAACAACCAGAUCAACACUGUUGUUGGGAGUAAGAGGUAAGAUCAUUUCAUCCCUUUUUUAUUCGAAUUUGAGUUUAAAGUGCAUGUUGAUUCUUUUAAACUGCAUGAGGAAGAUUUAGAAUGGAAAUCUGGAAAACAGAGUAAGGUAUAGCAUCAUAUGAAUUUACAAAUGGGCGUACAUAUAUGUGUAUCUUCUUAUCUUUAAAAUAAAUGUUAACUAUGGGCGUGUUAGUGUUUGAAUAAGAGGAAUCAGAUGUGUUGGUGGUUCGAGCAUUCCGUGCAUAAAUCUGGUGAGAUAUGGCUAAGAUAAUGAGGUGAGUUUCAUCAAGUAAUGGUUCAGGAAAGGAAAAAAAAAGAAGAGGAAAAGAAAAAUACGGAAGUACAUAGGAGUCGUUGAGGAAAAGAUAGAUAGUGACCAAGAGUGGGAGAAGGGAUUCCGG